rnacentral:rRNA from 1 species
GCUAAACGCGAAGAACCUUACCAAGGCUUGACAUAUACGAGAACGGGCCAGAAAUGGUCAACUCUUUGGACACUCGUAAACAGGUGGUGCAUGGUUGUCGUCAGCUCGUGUCGUGAGAUGUUGGGUUAAGUCCCGCAACGAGCGCAACCCUCGUUCUAUGUUGCCAGCACGUAAUGGUGGGAACUCAUGGGAUACUGCCGGGGUCAACUCGGAGGAAGGUGGGGAUGACGUCAAAUCAUNAUGCCCCUUAUGUCUUGGGCUUCACGCAUGCUACAAUGGCCGGUACAAAGGGCUGCAAUACCGUAAGGUGGAGCGAAUCCCAAAAAGCCGGUCCCAGUUCGGAUUGAGGUCUGCAACUCGACCUCAUGAAGUCGGAGUCGNUAGUAAUCGCAGAUCAGCAACGCUGCGGUGAAUACGUUCCCGGGUCUUGUACACACCG